rnacentral:rRNA from 1 species
UACGGAGGGUGCAAGCGUUGUUCGGAAUUAUUGGGCGUAAAGGGCAGGUAGGUGGUCCCAAAAGUCUACUGUGAAAUCCCCGGGCUUAACCUGGGAACUGCAUUUGUGACUGCACAGCUGGAGUGCGGCAGAGGGGGAUGGGAUUCCGCGUGUAGCAGUGAAAUGCGUAGAUAUGCAGAGGAACACCGAUGGCGAAGGCAAUCCCCUGGGCCUGCACUGACGCUCAUGCACGAAAGCGUGGGGAGCAAACAGG